rnacentral:rRNA from 1 species
UACGGAGGGUGCAAGCGUUAUCCGGAUUCACUGGGUUUAAAGGGUGCGUAGGUGGGUUGGUAAGUCAGUGGUGAAAUCUCCGAGCUUAACUUGGAAACUGCCAUGGAUACUAUAGAUCUUGAAUACUGUGGAGGUUAGCGGAAUAUGUCAUGUAGCGGUGAAAUGCUUAGAUAUGACAUAGAACACCAAUUGCGAAGGCAGCUGGCUACACAAAUAUUGACACUGAUGCACGAAAGCGUGGGGAUCAAACAGG